AUUAUUUAGCUGACACUGCCAGCUAUCGGCUUAGACAUACAACAGCAUAGUAACUAAGAAAAUAAAGGUUGUGGUAAAAAAGAAAAUCUUGCACAGGACUUUAUAUACUUCAUAUACCCCUGUGGCUGCCUGGGGUUGAGCCCACCCAAAAGUCAAAACCUAGACUCGCCCCUGGUUGCCAUUAUUGACUCUAGAUCCCUAAAACGUUUUCCAUAUGCAUGGGCUCUUUAUGGUCUUACUGCAACCUUAUGUUUUGAAAAAUAUAUCUCUACUUAUUUCUAAGAAAUUUCUUUUUAGCAAAAAUGUCAAUAUACAUUUUUUUUAGCAACAUUUUCAGUAGCGUCGCCAUUAUUGACUCUAGAGCCCCAAAAUUUGUUCAAUAGAGGCAUGGCCUAUUUAUGCUCCUACUACAACCUUUGUGAUGGGGAGAGGGGAGGGAGUGGGAAGAUGCAUUGGUUUGAGGCACAGACCUUUUCGAUUGUUGUAGUAUUUGGGUUAUGGGAUUUUAAUGUAUAGGGUGGUUGUUGAUAUAAAUAUUUUUUUUUAAAUAAAUGUAAAUAAUGUUUUUAAAGAUUAUACUUACACAUAGAAACCUCCCGGCAGGGUGCGCUUUGCGAGCACACAAAAUAAAUUGCGCGUGAAAAACAUAGCAUUUCACCUCCGCUGCUGCAACUCCAUCCUAGGGGAAACACUGGGCAAUAUAUAGAAUUAGGCAAUAUAUAUACAUAUACAGUAUAUAUAGCAUUUGUGGUUUUGGCAUAAACAUAACUAGGGUGCACUGUACUGUCUGCGCACACCCUUUCUGAAGCCUCUCUCUCGCUCUCUCUGUCCCUCCCUCUCUCUCUUUCUCUCUCUCUCUCGUAGCGUUUUGUGGAGCACGUUAAUUAUCUGAGAACACUCCCAUUCAGAAUGCAUUGGUUUACAUUUCGUUCUGUGUAGCACGAAAAAAGUCGGACUAUCGUGAUCUGGAACACGAUUCAAUAGAUUAACGUUUGUGCGCAUGAGCACGAAAUCGCGUCAUACCGGGUUGGCUAUUGCGCAAGCACGCAGGCGUACUUGCGCAAUAGUGCCUUCACGAGCUCUCAACACCGUACGAAACAGACACUGGUAGCGUGAAGCAGUCUCUGCAUCUCAGACAUCGCUUCCGCAGGCAACUCUGUCCCCCUUUCUCCCUUUUAUUUCCAACCCGUGAGCAACGCUAGUCUCCCUUCUCUGCCGAAUGCAUCUUUGAAAAAAAAGAAUAAGAAUCCGUUUUUAAAAUCCUUAAAUGUGAUGCAUGCCUCCGAAUCGUGUGAUGCGUCCGAUCAGCUGCGUUUUGGGGGAUAAAAUAAGAGCGAUGACAUGACAGUAGCGAUCGCUCUUA